ensembl:lncRNA
GGUGGCACACGGGUAGGAUAGAGAUGCCCUGGGAUGGUGGCACAUGGAUAGGAUGGAGAUGCCAUGGGAUGGUGGCACAGGGACAGGAUGGAGAUGCCCUGGGAUGGUGGCACAUGGAAGGGUGGAGGUGUUCAGAAAUGGUGACACGUGGGCAGAGUGGAGGUGCCAUGGGAUGGUGGCACAUGGGAGGAUGGAGACAUCCAGUUUGGCACAGGGAUAGGAUGGAGAUGCGGUGGGAUGGUGGCAUAGGGACAGGAUGGAGAUGUGGUGGGAUGGUGGCACAUGGAAGGGUGGAGACAUCCAGUUUGGCACAGGGACAGGAUGGAGAUGCGGUGGGAUGGUGGCACAGGGAUAGGACGGAGGCGCUGAGAAGCGGCGGCGCAGGGCAGGUGGGGGUGUUAUGGGCAGGUGGGGGUGUUAUGGGCCGGCGGCGCAGCGAAGGACGGAGGUGGGGACGCCGGGAGGCGGCGCAGUGCGGCCCGCUGUGGGGCGGCGCAGAGCUGCGGCGCUGGGAGCGUUUGGUUCUCAUUAUGGGCUGCUGGCAGCGGCGGUGGAAAAAAUAGCAGUGAGUGCAGAGCUGGGAGGGAGAGGGGCCGUGGAGGGGCGGCUGCGGUGUGCAAACAGCGAGCGGUGAGCACGGCCAGCGUGCAAAUACGGCGUGCAACGUGUGCUCGGCGUGCAACGUGCAAAUAAAGCGUGCAGCGUGUGUGCUUAGUGUGCAAGGAAAGCGUGCAACGUGUGCUCAGCGUGCAACGUGCAUAUAAAGUGUGCGGCAUGUGUGCUCAGUGUGCAAAGAAAGUGUGCAACGUGUGCUCAGCGUGCAUAUAAAGUGAGCAACGUGUGCUCACUGUGCAAGGAAAGCAUGCAAUGUGUGCUCAGAGUGCAACAUGCAAAUAAAGCGUGCAGUGUGUGUGCU